UACGAAGGGGGCUAGCGUUGUUCGGAAUUACUGGGCGUAAAGCGCACGUAGGCGGACCAGCAAGUUAGGGGUGAAAUCCCGGGGCUCAACCCCGGAACUGCCUUUAAAACUGUUGGUCUCGAGUCCGGAAGAGGUGAGUGGAAUUCCGAGUGUAGAGGUGAAAUUCGUAGAUAUUCGGAGGAACACCAGUGGCGAAGGCGGCUCACUGGUCCGGUACUGACGCUGAGGUGCGAAAGCGUGGGGAGCGAACAGG
rnacentral:rRNA from 1 species